GAUGAAGAACGUAGCGAAAUGCGAUAAGUAAUGCGAAUUGCAGAAUUCCAGUGAGUCAUCGAAUCUUUGAACGCACAUUGCGCCCUUUGGUAUUCCGAAGGGCAUGCCUGUUCGAGCGUCAUUAUCACCCCCCUCGAACCCCCCUUCUCGGGUUCGGUGUUGGAUGGUCGGCGGCGGGACCUUAUGUUCCACCACCCCUCCCAAAGGCAAUGACGGCGGCUGCGUUGACCCUCCGGUACACUGAGUUCUUCACCGAACACGUACUGGAUCAGGGCGCGCGGCGACGGUCUCCAUCCUAUAUAUUUUGAAAAGGUUGACCUCGGAUCAGGUAGGGAUACCCGCUGAACUUAAGCAUAUCAAUAAGCGGAGGA
rnacentral:misc_RNA from 1 species